AAUUUCGGUUGGUGGCUGCAUCGCGC
rnacentral:piRNA from 1 species